rnacentral:rRNA from 1 species
UUAAGCACUCCGCCUGGGGAGUACGACCGCAAGGUUGAAACUCAAAGGAAUUGACGGGGGCCCGCACAAGCGGUGGAGCAUGUGGUUUAAUUCGAAGCAACGCGAAGAACCUUACCAGGUCUUGACAUCCUUUGACCACUCUGGAGACAGAGCUUUCCCUUCGGGGACAAAGUGACAGGUGGUGCAUGGUUGUCGUCAGCUCGUGUCGUGAGAUGUUGGGUUAAGUCCCGCAACGAGCGCAACCCUUGAUUUUAGUUGCCAGCAUUUAGUUGGGCACUCUAAAGUGACUGCCGGUGCAAGCCGGAGGAAGGUGGGGAUGACGUCAAAUCAUCAUGCCCCUUAUGACCUGGGCUACACACGUGCUACAAUGGAUAGUACAAAGGGUCGCGAAGCCGCGAGGUGGAGCUAAUCCCAUAAAACUAUUCUCAGUUCGGAUUGUAGGCUGCAACUCGCCUACAUGAAGCCGGAAUCGCUAGUAAUCGUGGAUCAGCAUGCCACGGUGAAUACGUUCCCGGGCCUUGUACACACCGCCCGUCACACCACGAGAGUUUGUAACACCCGAAGUCGGUAGGGUAACCUUUAUGGAGCCAGCCGCCGAAGGUGGGACAGAUAAUUGGGGUGAAGUCGUAACAAGGUAGCCGUAUCGGAAGGUGCGGCUGGAUCACCUCCUUUCUAAGGAA